rnacentral:lncRNA from 1 species
GCCCGCGCCUCUCCCUCCACACCUCCCCGCAACUGAGGGAGCCGGCUCCUUCCUCGGCCAGCCCAGAAAGGGGCUCCCACAGUGCAGGGCCGGGCUGAAGGGCUCCUUAAGGGUGGCCAGAGUUGGCGCCAAGGCUGAGGAGGUGCCCAGAGCGAGCGAGGGCUGCCAGGGCUGCUAGCAGGCUGUCACCUCUCAAUAGCAGUUUUGUGUAUGGGAUCUAGCCCCUCCCUAAGAGGUUGAUUCUAAGGAAGCCAACAGCCGUGUUGUGAGUACCCAAUGGAAAGUCUGUUGUGGCAGAAAACUGAUGUCUCCAGCCAACAGCACUGAGGCCCUGAGACCUGCCAACUGUCAUGAUCUUCCGAUGCCUGGACACAGAAAGAGCAGUGGAAGGGGUCGUUGCAUGAGCAAAGACAAAGAGUGGGACACUGACUGUUACAUCUCAAGGAGAAGGAUUGCCAGAUCAAAAGUCUUGCAGUUAACCAGGCGUGGUGGCAGAUACCUGUAAUCCCAGCUAUUCGGGAGGCUGAGGCAGGAGAAUCGCUUGUACCCGGGAGGCAGAGGUUGCAGUGAGCUGAGACCGCGCCAUUGACUCCUGCCUGAUGACAAGAGAGAAUCUACGUCUCAACAACAACAACACGCUUGGGCACUGUAUUAACUCCGUAAUCGGUUUAUUCAUAAUGCUGCAUCAUCCAACCAUCAUCCAACCUAUUUAUCAUUCACAAUGCCACCUGUGAAUACUGGCUUCCGUUGACUCUUUCAAGAAUUGCUACUGGGCCUCACCAAUGUUGACCACAAAUGCAAGUCAUACUGAGAGCCUCUGUGCUCUUUCCCCUGUGGACAAUAACUACCAUUUCAUCCUGGACACCCCUUGUUUGCCUGGACCACACCUUGUUAUGACCAUAACCCUCAGUCAGACUCAACUUUCCUUCAAGAUCUGCAGAUCUAAAUUUUAUUGGGAACAGCUAGUUUGACAAGCAUAGACCAGAUGUCCAGUUGUCAUUCAUUCAGCAGGAGCAGCAAGAUUCAAUCAUGUUUUUAUUAUAUUAUUUCCUGAAACUUGUGGCUGUAACAAUGAAGUUUGAGGAUUGGUCUGUGUAAGUAUGGCAGAAGUGAUGUUAAGUCGCUUAUGAGAUUAGGGUAUAAAAGACUAAGGCUUCCAUGCUUCCAUCUUGGUCUCUGUCUCUCAGAGAACAGUCGUGUGAAUGAUUCUUCUUGAAAGUAAAUCUUCCAGCCCCAGUCCAGUAUUCAAAUGAUCCAGCAACAUUGCAACUUAUGAGAGACCUUGAGCCAUCCAGGUAACAUGCUUCCAAAUCCUGACCCUCAAAACAUGUAAAAUAAUAAAUGUGGUUUUAAACUCUUAAGUAAUUUGUUACAUAGUAAUAAAUAGCUAAUACACC